UUAGCUUUUACUUCUAUUUCUUUUGUCUGUUAUGACAAAAGCACUAAAAUAUUUUAUUUUUUGAAAUAAAUUUGCAUAUCACACCUUAAAUAUUCAGUUCACUUAAAACAACCUCAUGAAUAAUACAGUUUAAAAUAAAAUAUUUUACUUCUCAUAACAAUGGGUUUUACAGCUUACAAGCUUAGGUAUUAACAUGCAUCAGUCUAUUUUACUUCAAGGAGUAGUGGUGACUUUUUAGUGAGGUUUGGCUGGUGUUUCUGUUGGUGGAUUUACAGGUCUUCUGUCCUGUCUUUCUUUGCAGCUGAACCUGCUGGUGAAGGUGGUGCAGCUUCCCAAGCCACGUCCAGGACUGAGGCUCUGGGAGAUGCUGAGGGUGUGUCUGCAGGGAGGACUUCUCAAGCCCCAGGGCCAGAUGCUUGGCCCCAACCCAGCUCCCAUGGCAUGGGUCCUCCAAAAGGAAAGACCCAAUUAUUUGCCGCCAAAACGUCUCAUGACUCAGAUGAAUUCUGGAGACAAACACAGAAGGAAGCAACCCGAGGACAAGUGAUGGAACAAAAGGCUGUUCAGGAGGAGGAACACUCAGGGAGAAGCAGUGGCUCAUUGGCAGCCCUAGCUGAAGGAAGGAAGGCAAAGCCAGACACGGGCACAGGCACAGCAG